AGCCCCGUAGUGUAGCGGCCAAAUCCUCAUCCAUUGCUGAAUGGGGAGGCUUAUCAUCUAGGACUCUGGAUCCUGGGACCACGGUUCGAAUCCGUGCGGGGCUA
rnacentral:tRNA from 1 species